AUCCUUUUGUUGGUUCAUUAGUGUUGAUGACUGGGUGUCUAUGCAUUGGCAUGACACGUGCCUUCCAUAAACCUUGUUAUGACAUUGGCAUAUUACUUGUCUGAUG